rnacentral:rRNA from 1 species
UUCGGCUAUCGCUUACAGAUGGGCCCGCGGUGCAUUAGCUAGUUGGUAGGGUAAUGGCCUACCAAGGCAACGAUGCAUAGCCGACCUGAGAGGGUGAUCGGCCACACUGGGACUGAGACACGGCCCAGACUCCUACGGGAGGCAGCAGUAGGGAAUCUUCCGCAAUGGACGAAAGUCUGACGGAGCAACGCCGCGUGUAUGAAGAAGGUUUUCGGAUCGUAAAGUACUGUUGUUAGAGAAGAACAAGGAUAAGAGUAACUGCUUGUCCCUUGACGGUAUCUAACCAGAAAGCCACGGCUAACUACGUGCCAGCAGCCGCGGUAAUACGUAGGUGGCAAGCGUUGUCCGGAUUUAUUGGGCGUAAAGCGCGCGCAGGCGGUCUUUUAAGUCUGAUGUGAAAGCCCCCGGCUUAACCGGGGAGGGUCAUUGGAAACUGGAAGACUGGAGUGCAGAAGAGGAGAGUGGAAUUCCACGUGUAGCGGUGAAAUGCGUAGAUAUGUGGAGGAACACCAGUGGCGAAGGCGACUCUCUGGUCUGUAACUGACGCUGAGGCGCGAAAGCGUGGGGAGCAAACAGGAUU